UGGGCGUGAUCAUAAGGAACCCUUUCCAUCAAGAAAUAUUCAAUUUGAAUGACUUUCGCCUUACAGCUGACUCACUCGAGUCACAAGAUCGCACCACAAGGCACUCAAAAUGGCUGGUUUUCUCCAACUGGGUCAAGGGGAUUCCUCUUCUUCAUGUGACUACACUUCUUCAUGUGACUACACCACCCCAAUACCAAUCGAGCCACUAAGUGGACUAGAUAGCAUUUCUGUGUGAUUGACCAGGACAUAGGGCAUCUACAC
rnacentral:lncRNA from 1 species